rnacentral:rRNA from 1 species
UAGGGAAUCUUCCACAAUGGGCGAAAGCCUGAUGGAGCAACGCCGCGUGCAGGAUGAAGGCCUUAGGGUUGUAAACUGCUUUUAUGAUUGAGGAUUAUGACAGUAAAUCAUGAAUAAGGACCUGCUAACUACGUGCCAGCAGCCGCGGUCAUACGUAGGGUCCAAGCGUUAUCCGGAAUGACUGGGCGUAAAGAGAUGCGUAGGCGGCUACUUAAGUGGAUAUUGAAAUCGUGGGGCUCAACCCUGCAACCGGUAUCCAAACUGAGUAGCUAGAGUAUGAGAGAGGAAGUUGGAAUUCCCGGUGUAGGAGUGAAAUCCGUAGAUAUCGGGAGGAACACCAAUGGCGAAGGCAGACUUCUGGCUCAUCACUGACGCUGAGGCUCGAAAGCGUGGGUAGCGAACGGG